GACGAACGCUGGCGGCGUGCUUAACACAUGCAAGUCGAACGGAAAGGCCCUGCUUUUGUGGGGUGCUCGAGUGGCGAACGGGUGAGUAACACGUGAGUAACCUGCCCUUGACUUUGGGAUAACUUCAGGAAACUGGGGCUAAUACCGGAUAGGAGCUCCUGCUGCAUGGUGUGGGUUGGAAAGUUUCGGCGGUUGUGGAUGGACUCGCGGCUUAUCAGCUUGUUGGUGGGGUAGUGGCUUACCAAGGCUUUGACGGGUAGCCGGCCUGAGAGGGUGACCGGCGACAUUGGGACUGCGAUACGGACCAGACUCCUACGGGAGGCAGCAGUGGGGAAUAUUGCACAAUGGGCGGAAGUCUGAUGCAGCAACGCCGCGUGCGGGAUGACGGCCUUCGGGUUGUAAACAGCUUUCGAAUGUGACGAAGCGUGAGUGACGGUAAUGGGUAAAGAAGCACCGGCUAACUACGUG
rnacentral:rRNA from 1 species